rnacentral:rRNA from 1 species
UGAGGAAUAUUGGACAAUGGGCGCAAGCCUGAUCCAGCCAUGCCGCGUGCAGGAAGAAGGCGUUAUGCGUUGUAAACUGCUUUUGCCAGGGGAUAAAAAGACCGUGCGCGGUUAAUUGAAGGUACCUGGUGAAUAAGCCACGGCUAACUACGUGCCAGCAGCCGCGGUAAUACGUAGGUGGCAAGCGUUGUCCGGAUUUAUUGGGUUUAAAGGGUGCGUAGGUGGCCCUGUAAGUCAGUGGUGAAAUAUCUCAGCUUAACUGAGAGGGUGCCAUUGAUACUGCAGGGCUUGAGUACAGAUGAGGUAGGCGGAAUUGACGGUGUAGCGGUGAAAUGCAUAGAUAUCGUCAAGAACACCGAUAGCGAAGGCAGCUUACCAAGCUGUAACUGACACUGAGGCACGAAAGUGUGGGGAUCAAACAGGAUUAGAUACCCUCGUAGUCCCUGAGCGGGCUGGCAAGGCGCAU